rnacentral:rRNA from 1 species
AUGGAGACCAACUCCGAUUCCCCACCAACGGAGGAGUACGGGCGCCGGCUGUUCGCGGCUAGGUCCGGCAUCCUCACCGUCGAGGCGCUCUUCCGGUCUCAGUCGCCGGCGGUGCCCUUCUCGCAGCCAUGCACGGUGGACGUCCUCUGCGGGGAGACCUUCGCCAGGCGUGUAGGGCCGCGUAUCGUGGGCGGCGGGUGCGCUGCUGAGUGUUGUUUGUCAACUCGUUCCAUGAAACCGAGCAGACGGGAGAAGGAUUACCUGGCGUCAACAUGGCGUGUGAAGUCCAUCAGCCCGACAGCGCCGCCGUUCUACCUCGACGACCAUUGGUUUGACAUCUUUGAGUAUUGA